rnacentral:rRNA from 1 species
UACGUAGGCAGCAAGCGUUGUUCGGAGUUACUGGGCGUAAAGGGUGCGUAGGCGGUUGUUUAAGUUUGGUGUGAAAUCUCCCGGCUCAACUGGGAGGGUGCGCCGAAUACUGAAUGACUAGAGUGCGGGAGAGGAGAGUGGAAUUCCUGGUGUAGCGGUGAAAUGCGUAGAUAUCAGGAGGAACACCGGUGGUGUAGACGGCUCUCUGGACCGUAACUGACGCUGAGGCACGAAGGCGUGGGGAGCGAACGGG